CCUUUAAAAUAUAAAAGACCACUUUUAAUUUUUUUCCCCCUAAUAGUGACCUCUGUGGGUACUUAGUACUCAAUAAUACUAAUUAGUCUUACAUGAAAAAAAACUUUAAAAUACUCCUUGAAAGUCCUGUGUUUUAUGCUAUGGACAUGUGGAAGUCUGAGUUAUACUGUAGCUGAAGGCUCAGAUAGUGACAUGCUGCAAAUCUUGUAGUUUCAUCACAAAAAGAAGGGCAUUGCAAUAGGCAGUGAGAUCCAGGAUUCCUGGCAAUGUAUAUAAAUAUUUACCCAUCAUAAACUCUUUCUCGUGGUGUUUUGUGUUGCAGAUUCAAUUUCUUCGUAAUGUAACAUGGACACUGUCAAACUUGUGCCGAAAUAAAAACCCAGCUCCUGAGAAGGCAGCAGUAGAGCAGAUCCUUCCUGCUCUGGCUCAUCUGAUCACUCAUACGGAUAAAGAGAUUCUCUCUGACACAUGUUGGGGUUUGUCGUAUUUGACGGAUGGAACAAAUGAUAGAAUACAAGUAAGAAUUUUCCUUUUUAAUAUCACAACUGUCUUUCAGCUUCCUUGCUGUAAUAAAAAUCAAUCAUUAUUGACUAUACAGUGUACACACUCAGAUUAAUUGCAUGAGAAGUGUUAUAAUUAUGUAAAUGGUUAUAGAAAAUAUCAAGGAAACUAACAGUUAAUUGGAGCUGAGGGUAUUCAAGCUUAAUUAAAUUAACCAGUACCAGACUGGUGCUAGUACAUGUAUGGGAAAGAUCCAGCUGUGAAGUCAGAUCUUUGACCUUAAAGCCAUCUGAGUCUGGUUCUGUAUGAACAAUUAAAGCAUUUCUGUCUGACAUGGCUGGCCAGUUAUCUCAGAAAUAUAACAGGUGGUUCACAACUAAAGAAUGGUGCAUUGUGCACUUCUAAUAUCAAAUAAACUUACUU